rnacentral:rRNA from 2 species
UACGGAGGGUGCAAGCGUUAUCCGGAUUCACUGGGUUUAAAGGGUGCGUAGGUGGGCAGGUAAGUCAGUGGUGAAAUCUCCGGGCUUAACCCGGAAACUGCCAUUGAUACUAUUUGUCUUGAAUAUCCUGGAGGUGAACGGAAUAUGUCAUGUAGCGGUGAAAUGCUUAGAUAUGACAUAGAACACCAAUUGCGAAGGCAGUUCACUACGGGAUCAUUGACACUGAGGCACGAAAGCGUGGGGAUCAAACAGG